AUUAACUGGUUAAUAAAAGACAAAAAAAAAUAUAUUUAAAGUCUUAUACUUUGAAAUAAUGACAUAGGAAAUUGCAAUUGCUGGUCAGUCACUGUGCCUCUAUUAGAAACUUUGUUCUGUGACAUGAAACAGAGCUGAAUUUGAAAAUAGGAUUGGUUUGGUAUCUCUUUAAGGCUCUGCUCAGGCUCUAGUUUCAUACGCCUUCAAAAGUCAUGUACACAUUACUUUAGUAUCUAAGAAAAAAUCCUAAUAAAAAUAAAGAAAACACAUUCUUUUAUAAGAUGAAUAUGGACUGUCUUACACUGUUAAUCUCUUAAAACCAUUCCUUCUUUAUUUCUAACAUUGCUUUAUUAAGACAAAAUUCAACUGCCAGAUACAUAAGCACUUCUCUACAAAACAUGAUUUAAUCUAGAGUUGUUAUGGUUUGAAACCUUAAAAAGGUAUUGGUUUGGGAUUGCUCCCUGUUAGACAUCAUAUUCAAACACUUUUUUUGUUUCUAAUAGAGGGAAUGUCAUCUGGCCUAAAAGAGAUUUUUGGAGUAUAACAUGGUACUCAUUAAAUUUCUGCUUCCUGAAAAAUGUGUAAAAGUAAGUCAAUGUCAAAAGGAAAAAUUGUUGCAGAUCCUAGAUGCAGUAACAUUUACUUCUGCUUUCUCUAACAUGGACUAGCAAGGGUGACACAUGAUCAUACACACAGAUCAUAAUUCUUUAAAAAUCAGUGUGAACAACUGCGACAACAAAGUAAGAACAAUAAGAAAUAACUUCACCUGUCAAGAUGCUGAGAGAUUUAAAGGAGGAAAAUAUAAUUUGUUUGGUUUUAAAACAAUAUUCUGCAAAGUAUCUGAAUGCAUAUUCUAAGACAUAUAUGAAAAAUAAUUUGGUAGGAGCACAACGUACUCAGAUGGUGGUACGCGGCGUGUGGUGUAGUGGCCAGGUGGGGCAGCUGUCACACUGCUGUAAGGUAGUCCACACACAAGCAGCCAGUGGCCUCACUGUAGACAGCAGGGACAAUAUGCCCAUAAGAAACAUUUAACAUCUCAAACAACACUGUUUGCUCAUUGACACUCUCAGCCAGCCAGCAAAAGACAGGCUUGUCAAGACAAUGCAACCAACUCCUCGGGUAUUGCUGCCUUUCACAUUAGAAACACGGCACACAAGGGCGAGAGUAGACUUUGCUCCCACUGCAGAUUCCCUGGUCGAUGAGACAUAGAUGUACAACUCCAUGCAUCCUCAUAUCCUCUCCUAGAUCUGAGGCCAAGGCUCUGGGUUUAAAGCUUGUGACUUUGUUAUCAGCAAAAACUGAAGAACCAUGCUCGUGAAAAAAGAGCUGGUAAACAUGGGAAAAAAUCAUCCUUUUGCUGAAUUUUCCUGUAAUAUAUCUGAUUGCACUCCAAGUUAAUUAUGUGUAUACCAGUUUUUCAAACUGCUUACACAUAUUUAUGUCACUUUGCUUUUUAUGAAAUGGUUACACAAAUACAGAUGUGACAUGCAAGGGCUGCCCUUCUGAGUGGAAAGGUAGUAAUUUUUUAAAAUGAUGAUUACUUUUAAGCACAUAAAUAUUUUUGAAUACAUUAACUGUUAAUUUCACUGACAUUAGAAGUCAGGAUUGUGACAUCAAAAUUUAUUACAAUGAAUUUACUGUAAUGUUAGAAAUAAGAGAUUAUGAGAGUGUAUAGAAAACACCAAGAGCUAUUAAAAAAGGGAUUGGCUUAUACAAAAUACUAAUGCCAAAAGAAAAGCACAUCACAAUUGAGUGCAAUUUAGAGCAAACAUGGUUUGCUCUUGCAGAAAACAACUGAGAUAACUGUGCCUCAUCACCUGUCUUGCUUGCACGCUGCCAGCACUCUCCAGAACACCUGGAGGUAUUUCUGAUUUCACCAGUCUGAGCAAAGGAAACCCUGAACCUUGACCUAAGUCUUGGCAAAUAUGUAAAGGAAUUACUGACUUUCCAACCAUAUGUCUAUUAUCUGUAAUUUUAAGCCUACACACAUGCUCUGCUAAUGAGCUUACACAGCUUUCAUCAUUCUUUCAAAGAAGUAGGAAAAAAAUCAGCUGUCUGGAAGUAAUGGGGAUACAUUGCUAAAGAAGUUUGGAGGAGACCAACAAGACUGUGAUAAUGCUGGUAGAAGAGGCAUUUUCCAGAAUUGCAUGUUACACUCUUUAUUAGAAAGCAUACUCUGUACAAAAAAUGACGUCUUAGAUGCUUGAUUAAAAGGUACCUAAGAGAUGGAGGCAAUGAUGAAGGAAAUAGUCUGCAAGCAAAGACCGAAUGUGUGAUGUGCAGACUGUCAUUACAAUUUUUUUUUCCUAUAGACCAUCUGUGCUAUAUGAAGGUUUGUAUCCUCAAGACAGCCAUAAUUCACACUAAUGUCAUGACACAAGCUACAACCAACAAUGCUAGAAAGGUUAUGUCAGCAUCGAGGUCACCUGGGAGAAGAAUGUGGACAUUGGAGGAGCAGAAGACAAACAAAGGCUGAAAGUGGAGGAAGAGAAGCCAAGGACAUUCCUUUUGCUAGUUAAUUUUUCUAAGUAUGCUUCAUAAAGGUUUUAAUUUAUGUGAAUAUAUGCAUUAUGGGUUAGCAUAAUUAUUCCAUAGUGUAAUUUAAAAUAGCCCACUGGAUGCCAACUGACAAGCUACAUCUGAGCCUAUUGACUUUCCACUGUCAUUUUGUAGCAAAAUGUGGUGAAAAGGUAGAUAGGCUUAUCUGCACAUCUGUAGCUAGAACCCAAUAUCUUUGCUUUACAGUUAUGAGCAAGAAUCUUGCCUACUUACAAGUCUGCUCUGGGAAAUGAUUAGAACGGAAUGUCAAUGAUAUUAAUGUAAGCAUAGGGCUCUUUCAGGAAUGUGCUAUCAGCUUAUGUAUUAACUUUAUAAGAUGGAGGAGGUGAACUGAAGCUGUUAGUAGUCCAUGAGAAGAGAGAUACCAACAGCCUUCCAGUGCUUGAGACCUCUCCUAUUGCCUUCUUUUCUUCUAAUCAUAUGGAUAAAAAGAAAAAAGAAUAAUACAGAAAUCUCUUGCUGGUUUGGUAAUAUCUUCAUUUUAGAGAAGCGUUAAGCUUUCCUCUCUACUUAAUAUCAAAAAAUGCAGAAGAGUCAAUAAGUCAUUUUAGGCAUGCUUAUUAUCAGAUCUAGUGCCUCAGCCAUCUGCCUAAACAGCUCCUGAAACUGCUGAUAGUUGUCUGGAACUGAUUAUAACCACUGUCACUGAAUCCUCAGAAGACAUUAAAGAAGUCAGGCUAAUAUCAGUUUAUUUACAUAUCCUCACUCUUGUAACAUAUCUAUAUCUAGCAGCUCAGAAUGGCUUAAACAGGGGUCAUGGUUCUAGCUUUGUAGGGGAAAUGGUACAAUAAGAUAAGAACUUGAUUUUAUAGGAGAGGAAAAAUAAUAGCAGAAUUUUCACAAUUUUCAGCUAACAGACUGACUUAACUUCACCUGUCCACGGAAGACAAUGUGAAAACAGUCAGGCAGAAUUAGAGACACAGGGCAGGAAACAACACAGUGGUAUAAAACUUUUAGAGUCAGAAUGGAGAUUUCAGACCAAGUUAGGAAUUGCAACACUUAAUAUCUGUCACGUCGGCUCUGCAGGAGACUUAGCAAGGCUGCAUUAGAUUUACCUCAUGGCAUACAGUAGGAGUUAGAUUCCCAAGAACAUUAUCCAAGUGAGUGAAAGGCUGAUCAGUGAGUCUCACAGAGGCAGCCAGUGGGGAACAGGGAGCAGAACAGUGUCUAAAACAUAGUUUUUCUCAGAGACUUAAAUACUUGCAUCUAGUGUGGAGGUACAGCUCAGAAGUUUUCCUGAUGGUAGAUAGUUAUUGCCAUUCCUUCUGGGCGAGACUGAAUGACUUCUUCAAAAGCAAGUUGUGCCAUGAGACAGUAAUGAUACCUGCUUCCCAUGGAUGUGUGCUGGUUUUGUACUACACCUCUUUACAAUAACAAUUUGUUUCCCACAGGUUCUACCAGCUAAACGGCAGUAUAAACUAAGGCAUCUUUUGACACAUUUAUCUGUUCCAUACCCUACCCAAGAAUUCUCUUGUCACGGGCAUGAAUUUAUGAAUUUGGAUCUCUCCUCUCCAUCCAGAUGCUUAUUUUUUCAGAAACUCUGUCCCUUUUCCAGUUUGACUGACUUGGGACAAUGAGUUUAAAAGUUAUGUGAGUUGAGGGGUUGAGGGCUGAGGGAUGGGGAGUGGGGGAAGAUUUACAGAAUAACCUUGUGACCCAUUAAGCCUUGUGUUUUUAGGAGGGCAGGCAAAAAAUACAGGAGCAAGGGCAGCAAUGGCUGCCUUGUUUUUCAGGAUUUGAAAACCUAGUGGUGAAGCACCCUCCUAGGAAGCAAGAAGCAAGCCCAGCCUAUGUAGUUUCAAAUCUGCAUCUUUUGUGAUCAGGGAGAUUUCACCUAAUUAUCAAAUUAGUUACUCAUGGAGGAAUGCUCCUGUGACCUUUACGCUUAUGACUUGGCAAGGAAGCAGCUAUAGAGACAGACCCUUUGCUAGACUAUGAACUUGUGCCAACAUCUGCAAAGAGACACAAAGUUUAGCACCUGAAUCCAAUUUUCAGCAGCUACCUGAGUGGGUCGAUCCUGAGGCCUUAGCAGUUCCCAAAUGAAGGCUCUGGUGAAUCAGAACAUCUGUACAUGAGGCUAGAUAUUUAAAUGUCUAAAUACAUAUUUACAGGAAUACAGUCUACAGUGCCAAUUUUUAAGAGUUUUGACUUGAACUAACUUCCUAACAGAUGGUUAUUCUGAAUCUAUCUUCAUUUAUUUACGGCUGUUUAUGUUUUUACAGAUAUAAUAAAUGACCUAAAGCUUA